CACGAUUUUGCGCCAUUCCCACCGGAGCUGAAUCACCUGCCAUUCUGCCAGUGCCCACCAAUCCUUGACGACCACUAAGGAAGCUACAACUGUCUCACCCAAGGGAACUCCAUCCCUUCUAUGUUUCAGAUAUUAAACUUCUUUUUGGGAAGAUUCCCACCGGAGCUGAGUCACCU